rnacentral:rRNA from 1 species
GCUUAACACAUGCAAGUCGAACGGAAACGAUAGAAGCUUGCUUCUAGGCGUCGAGUGGCGGACGGGUGCGUAACGCGUGGGAAUCUACCUUAUAGUGGGGGAUAGCCCGGUGAAAACCGGAUUAAUACCGCAUACUACUCUACGGAGGAAAAGGGGCCUCUCCUUGGAAGCUCUUGCUAUUAGAUGAGCCCGCGUAAGAUUAGCUAGUUGGUUGAGGUAAUGGCUCACCAAGGCAACGAUCUUUAGCUGGUUUGAGAGGAUGAUCAGCCACACUGGGACUGAGACACGGCCCAGACUCCUACGGGAGGCAGCAGUGGGGAAUAUUGGACAAUGGGCGCAAGCCUGAUCCAGCAAUACCGCGUGUGUGAAGAAGGCCUGAGGGUUGUAAAGCACUUUCAAUAGGGACUAAAUGUUCAAAGUUAAUAACUUUGGAUCUUGAAUUAACCUAUAGAAGAAGGACCGGCUAACUCCGUGCCAGCAGCCGCGGUAAUACGGAGGGUCCGAGCGUUAAUCGGAAUUACUGGGCGUAAAGCGCGCGUAGGCGGUUUAUUAAGUCGGAUGUGAAAGCCCUGGGCUCAACCUGGGAACUGCAUUCGAUACUGGUAAACUAGAGUAUAGUAGAGGUAAGUGGAAUUCCAUGUGUAGCGGUGAAAUGCGUAGAUAUGUGGAGGAACAUCAGUGGCGAAGGCGACUUACUGGACUAAUACUGACGCUGAGGUGCGAAAGCGUGGGGAGCAAACGGGAUUAGAUACCCCGGUAGUCCACGCCGUAAACGAUGUCAACUAGCCGUUGGGAGCAUUUGAGCUUUUAGUGGCGCAGCUAACGCAUUAAGUUGACCGCCUGGGGAGUACGC